rnacentral:rRNA from 1 species
UACGUAGGGGGCGAGCGUUGUCCGGAUUUAUUGGGCGUAAAGAGCGUGUAGGCGGCCAGGUAGGUCCGUUGUGAAAACUCGAGGCUCAACCUCGAGACGUCGAUGGAAACCAUCUGGCUAGAGUCCGGAAGAGGAGAGUGGAAUUCCUGGUGUAGCGGUGAAAUGCGCAGAUAUCAGGAAGAACACCUAUGGCGAAGGCAGCUCUCUGGGACGGUACUGACGCUAAGACGCGAAAGCGUGGGGAGCGAACAGG